rnacentral:rRNA from 1 species
AUGAGGGUUUUCGGGCUGCUCGCUCUCGCCGGCGCGGCGCUGCUGCUGGCCGCGGCCGUCCCCGCGAGCGGCAGCGUGGCGUCGAUCGUCACGCGGGACACGUUCUACUCCAUGCUGAGGCAGGGCCACCACGGCGGCGGCGACGGCGGGUGCGACGGGGGCGCCUUCUUCUACUCCUACGACGCGUUCGUGGAGGCCGCGAGCACGUUCCGCGGCUUCGGCACCACCGGCGACCAGGCCACCCGCCGCCGGGAGCUCGCCGCCUUCUUCGCGCAGACCUCCCACGAGACCACCGGUUACUGCUGGGUGAAGCAGCGGAGCCCGGCCGGCGAUCGGUACUACGGGCGAGGCCCCAUGCAACUCACUCACGAGCACAACUACCGGCGAGCCGGGGACGCGCUGGGGCUGGACCUGGUGAGGAGGCCGGACCUGGUGUCGACCGACCCCGUGGUGGCCUUCAAGACGGCCAUCUGGUUCUGGAUGACGCCGCGACAUGGGGCGCACAAGACGCCGUCGUGCCACGCCGUGAUGACCGGCGGCUGGAGGCCGUCGCGCAGGGACCGCCGCGCCGGGAGGCUCCCCGGGUACGGCAUGACCACCAACAUCAUCAGCGGCGGGCUGGCGUGCGGCAAGCGCCACGGCACGCCCCAGGGCAGGGAUCGGGUCGGGUACUACAAGAGGUGCUGCCGCCUGCUCCGUGUCCGGCUCGGCCGCAACGUGGCCUGCAUCAACCAGAAGCCGUACGGGCACGGUGGCUGA